rnacentral:rRNA from 1 species
AGAGUUUGAUCCUGGCUCAGAACUAACGCUGGCGGCGCGUCUUAAACAUGCAAGUCGAGCGGCAGCACUUCGGGUGGCGAGCGGCGAACGGGUGAGUAACACGUAGGUAAUUUGCCCACGGAUGGGGGAUAACCUUUCGAAAGGAAGGCUAAUACCGCAUAACACCAUGGUUACCACGGUAAUUAUGGUCAAAGCAGCAAUGCGUCUGUGGAGAAGCCUGCGUCCGAUUAGGUAGUUGGUAAGGUAACGGCUUACCAAGGCGACGACGGGUAGGGGACCUGAGAGGGUGGCCCCCCACAAUGGAACUGAAACACGGUCCAUACACCUACGGGUGGCAGCAGUAGGGAAUAUUGCACAAUGGGCGAAAGCCUGAUGCAGCAACGCCGCGUGCGCGAAGAAGGUCUUCGGAUCGUAAAGCGCUUUUCUGGGAGAUGAGAAAGGACAGUAUCCCAGGAAUAAGUCUCGGCUAACUACGUGCCAGCCGCCGCGGUAAUUC